AUGGCAGAGGGGGUUGUCGGCAUGCUGAUUCUGAAGCUUGGUUCAGCCUUGGCCAUAGAAGCAAUCAAGGUUGGUACAGGGAAGCUAUGCCGUCAAGCUAAAGCUUCUUCUGUUGUCAGGCUGUUUGGUCAGAUCCGUGAUAUCAAGGAGGAGCUGGAGAGCAUGCAGUCGUUUCUACAAGAAGCCGAGAGGUUCAAGGAUACUAACAAUACCACUGCCAGCUUCAUCAACAAGAUCCGAGGCCUUGCUUUCCAGAUUGAGGACGUUGUUGACGAGUUCACCUACAAGUUAGAGGACAAGCAUGGUGGCUUUUCUGUGAAGAUCAAGCGGCGGUUUAAGCGAAUCAGGACCUGGCGCCGUCUGUCACUGAAACUGAGAGACAUCAAACUGAAAUUAGAGAAUGUUGAUAGGAGAAAGGCCCGGUAUGACAUGAGAGGAAUUGCAAUAGAAGCUAGAAACAGUGACGCUCAUUGCAGGUCUACAGAUCAGACUUCAUACUUCCCAAUAGAAGAAAAUCUUGUCGGCAUUGAUGAGAGUAAGAAUUUGCUGAUUAAUUGGUUGACAAGCGAUUUCCAACAGGAGAAUGUAAUUAGCACAGUAUGGGGGAUGGGAGGAGUAGGCAAGACCACUUUGGUUGCCCAUGUUUACAACACUCUGAAGAUAGACUUCGACUGUGCUGCAUGGAUAACUGUAUCAAAAUCAUACCAGGUUCAGGACUUGUUAAAGCAGAUUAUCAGGGAGUUACAGAAGAGUGACUUGAAGGGUGAACUUCGCGUUGAUAUUGUUGACAUGGAAAAGAGAAGCCUAGUUGAGAUCAUCCGUGAUUUCUUGCGUGGCAAGAAGUACCUUCUGGUUCUAGAUGAUGUCUGGGGUAUUGACAUCUGGUUCAAGAUAAGAGAUGCUUUCCCUACUAACAGCACCAGCCGGUUUGUAAUCACGUCAAGAAUCCAUGAUGUAGCGUUGCUGGCUACUGGAAAUUGCAUGGUUGAAUUGAAACCACUAGAAGCGCACCACUCAUGGGAAUUGUUCUGUAAAGAGGCGUUUUGGAAAAAUGAAAACAGAAUAUGUCCGGAGGAGCUACAGUUUUUGGCACAAAGAUUUGUGGACAAGUGUAAUGGCUUGCCCAUUGCUAUUGCAUGCAUAGGUCGUUUACUGUCCUGCAAAAGCCAAACUCAUUCUGAAUGGGAAAAAUUGUACAAGGAAUUAGAAGUGCAGUUGACAAACAAUGCGAUUCUUGAUGUUAACAUAGUUCUAAUGGUCAGUUUGGGGGAUCUUCCAUAUAUUUUGAAGAACUGCUUUCUUCAUUGUAUUGUAUUUCCAGAGGAUUAUUUGAUCAAAAGGAAAAGACUGAUUAGACAUUGGGUGACAGCAGGAUUCAUCAGGGAAACAGAGCACAAAACAAUGGAGGAAGUGGCAGAGGGCUAUUUGUAUGAACUUGUAAAUCGAAGCCUAUUGCAGGUAGUGGAGAGGAAUGAAAGUGGACGUGUGCGGAGUUGCCGAAUGCAUGAUAUCAUUCGCCUUCUUGCUCUGGCUAAAUCAAAUGAGGAAAGGUUCUGUAGAGUUCAUGAUGGCUCAGUGAGUUCUUCAGCAGAAAAUACACGCCGCCUAUCAAUCCAAAGUGCCAAUAUUGAGCAGUUGACUCUUUCAAGUGAAGUUCAGCUCCGUUCAAUCUAUGUUUUUGACAAUGGUCUGACAAUUGAUUCACUGAAGUCUUUCUUGAAAUCUUUCAAGUUGCUAUCAACUUUAGAUCUACAAGGUUCCAAAAUUAGGAGGCUACCAAAUGAGAUUUUCAACAUGUUUAAUCUGCGGUUUCUGGGUCUUAGAGAUACCGAGGUUGAGGAUAUUCCGAAAACAGUUGGAAGACUACAGAAAUUGGAAGUUUUGGAUGCUUACAAUGCUAAGCUGUUGAGUUUGCCGGAGAGUGUGGCAACACUUAGGAAGUUGAGAUAUCUAUAUGUUGCUACUGAUCCAAAGACAAAUAUUAAAGGAGUUGUUGCCUGGACUGGAAUCCAGGUGCCUAACGGAAUAAGGCACUUGACAGACUUGCAAGCCUUGCAACUUGUUGAGGCAAGCUCAGAGACUUUGUGUCAUCUUGGUGCUUUGACAGAGUUGAGAACUUUGUCCAUCACCAAAGUGCAGAGAGAACAGUGUGCUGAUUUGUGCAAUGCUAUCAUGAAUAUGACCCACCUUGUCAGUCUUGCAAUUAUGGCUAUAAAUGAGAAAGAAACACUGGAACUGGAAGAGCUCUGCUUACCUCCUACGCUCUCGAAGCUUGAAAUAGGAGGGCAACUAGAUAGGAAACGGAUGCCUCAGAUUGUCUCGUCCUUCUCAGGCCAUGAAAACAUUACCUUGUUGGCCUUAGCCUUCUCCAAACUUGAUGAAGACUCAUUUUCAUGCCUGCUGGUGUUACAUGGUCUACGUGCACUUUGGCUUGAUAAGGCCUAUGAAGGGAAGAGUCUGCACUUCAAUGCCAUGGCAUUUCCAAAACUGCGACUGCUAUCAAUCUCAGAUGCACCGCAGCUCAAUGAUGUUGUAGUAGAAGAAAGUGCAUUGCAAAGCCUUGUUCACCUAUCUCUCACAGAUUGUCCAGAGCUAAAGGCCCUCCCUGAUGGCAUUGAGCAUCUUAGAACACUAGAGAAAUUAUAUCUGCGAGGAGUUUCCAAAGAUCUCACAAAGAAGCUUCAGAACAAAGAAAAAACAAAUGAAUGCAAUGAUUAUCUUAAGAAGAUCAAUCACGUCCGAAGGGUAACUGUUUAUCCAUGA
rnacentral:rRNA from 1 species